rnacentral:rRNA from 3 species
UAAAACUUUCAACAACGGAUCUCUUGGUUCUGGCAUCGAUGAAGAACGCAGCGAAAUGCGAUAAGUAAUGUGAAUUGCAGAAUUCAGUGAAUCAUCGAAUCUUUGAACGCACAUUGCGCCCCUUGGUAUUCCGGGGGGCAUGCCUGUUCGAGCGUCAU